AUUGAACGCUGGCGGCAGGCCUAACACAUGCAAGUCGGACGGUAGCACAGAGGAGCUUGCUCCUCGGGUGACGAGUGGCGGACGGGUGAGUAAUGUCUGGGGAUCUGCCCGAUAGAGGGGGAUAACCACUGGAAACGGUGGCUAAUACCGCAUAUCGUCGCCAGACCAAAGAGGGGGACCUUCGGGCCUCUCCUUAUCGGAUGAACCCAGAUGGGAUUAGCUAGUAGGCGGGGUAACGGCCCACCUAGGCGACGAUCCCUAGCUGGUCUGAGAGGAUGACCAGCCACACUGGAACUGAGACACGGUCCAGACUCCUACGGGAGGCAGCAGUGGGGAAUAUUGCACAAUGGGCGCAAGCCUGAUGCAGCCAUGCCGCGUGUAUGAAGAAGGCCUUCGGGUUGUAAAGUACUUUCAGCGGGGAGGAAGGCGAUGUGGUUAAUAACCGCAUUGAUUGACGUUACCCGCAGAAGAAGCACCGGCUAACUCCGUGCCAGCCGCCGCGGUAA
rnacentral:rRNA from 1 species